rnacentral:piRNA from 1 species
UGCCAGAAUGGAGUCUCACCUCAGU